rnacentral:rRNA from 1 species
CAGUUCAGAUUGCAGGCUGCAACUCGCCUGCAUGAAGUCGGAAUUGCUAGUAAUCGCAGAUCAGCAUGCUGCGGUGAAUACGUUCCCGGGCCUUGUACACACCGCCCGUCACACCAUGGGAGUCGGUAACACCCGAAGUCGGUAGCCUAACCGUAAGGAGGGCGCCGCCGAAGGUGGGAUUGAUGACUGGGGUGAAGUCGUAACAAGGUAUC